rnacentral:rRNA from 1 species
AAUAGAUACCCCGGUAGUCCACGCCGUAAACGUUGGGCGCUAGAUGUGGGGACCUUUCCACGGUUUCCGUGUCGUAGCUAACGCAUUAAGCGCCCCGCCUGGGGAGUACGGCCGCAAGGCUAAAACUCAAAGGAAUUGACGGGGGCCCGCACGAAGCGGCGGAGCAUGCGGAUUAAUUCGAUGCAACGCGAAGAACCUUACCAAGGCUUGACAUAACCGAGAACACCGUAGAAAUACGGGACUCUUUGGACACUCGGUUACAGGUGGUGCAUGGUUGUCGUCAGCUCGUGUCGUGAGAUGUUGGGUUAAGUCCCGCAACGAGCGCAACCCUCGUCGCAUGUUGCCAGCACGUCAUGGUGGGAACUCAUGUGAGACUGCCGGGGUCAACUCGGAGGAAGGUGGGGAGUGACGUCAAAUCAUCAUGCCCCUUAUGUCUUGGGCUUCACGCAUGCUACAAUGGCCGGUACAAAGGGCUGCAAUGUCGUAAGGCGGAGCGAAAUCCCAAAAAGCCGGUCUCAGUUCGGAUUGAGGU